GUAAGUUUGCUACUGUUCUGAAUCGUAAUGUAAAUAUCUGUGUUCUCCAGUGGUCUUAGGUGGCCCCUGCGAAAGGGUCAUUAGAUACCCCAAAGGGGCUGUGUGACCCAUAGGUUGAGAAAUACUGCUUUAUAUCACCCCUCUUUCCGUCACCCCUCUUUCCAUCACCCCUCUUUCCUUCUCUCUGCCUUGGUGUUCACGUUUGUCCAUGGCAUCAUGCCUUGCUUGCAGCUCGACAGCUCUGGUCACAAUUCCUUGAAUUCUCUCUGUUAAGGUCCUGAAAUAGUAAGUAUGGGUGUGUUUACCCCUAAGUGGAGAUCUACCAGUCUGGAUUGCUUUUCUGUUUGGCCGGUUUGGGGAUUCUUGUCCAGCCUGUCGGUGGCUGACUAUCGGACGACAGCCCCUGGCCUAGAUGGCUGGGUUCUGGGUGGCAACAAAGAUGCUCACAUGCGUACCUCUUCUCCCUCUCAGUCGCUGAAGAAAGAUACAGUGGACUUGCAUGUUCUUUGGCUGUCUCCGUUGCUCUUCAGCCCUGGUGCCCGGGGCUGUGGUGAAUGUCUUGCAGAGCCACAGGUCCCUGAGGAAGGUAUUUUAAAAUGGACAUUUCCUUGCAGCUGCUCAGCACAUCCAGUAGGUGGCCCAGCCUCCACUUCUGCAGAUGAAUGAGGAUGUAAGCACUCCUUUGAUGAUGGUUUUCAUUAGCUCUGCAAGACUUCUAACUGCUUGUGGAGGACCGGCUUCUAAAGAGAGAAAGGCUUCUGACGAAUGCGGUAGAAUGUUCUAUUAGGCGUCUGAACAUUGCACUCAGAUAUUCCUAUCACAUGAUGGCAUCUAUCAUUUUAUGACUCAGCAGGAGACCCUGGUCAGAUGUGCCUCUCCCCUUUUCAGCUGUGCCUCCAAAACCUGAAAGUAAUUUUGGUGUUCAACAUGUGGAGAACCGCAGGAGGACCCAACUUAGUAGUCAUCUUGCCUAACCUGUUUCAUGGUAUCUGGUGCAUUUGGAUUUGCAUUUCACUUGCAGCACACCUUACUCUUUCCCACAUGAACAUCCUGCUGUCCCUGUGCCUGUUACAGACAGGACUAGAUUCCUUCCCUCAAUGAAUGCUUUUGACAGCAUUGUCAAACAUCAGUUAACCCUCUGAAUAGGGUUGCAAAAGGGACAUCCAUGGCAGCCUGACUACUUUUACAAAAUGGCGUUGGAUUUUUCAACUGCAUUUUAUGGAUCAGUUGAGGUGAUUAUGUGGAUUUCUUGUUGUGUAUGCUUUUGCUUUCUCUCAUUAGUGGGACUUAAUGUGUUGCCUUUUUGGUGUGGAAUCCAUCUGCAUUUGUGGAGAAAAUCUCACUUGGUCAGUGGUUUACUUCUCAUUUGGUCAGAGUGUAUAAUCUCUGCAGCAUGUUGCUAUGUAACCUUUGCUACU